CAGCAGCCGCGGUAAAACGUAGGUGGCGAGCGUUGUCCGGAAUUAUUGGGCGUAAAGGGAGCGCAGGCGGGCGAGUAAGUCUUUCUUAAAAGUGCGGGGCUCAACCCCGUGAGGGGAGAGAAACUACUCAUCUUGAGUGCAGGAGAGGAAAGCGGAAUUCCUAGUGUAGCGGUGAAAUGCGUAGAUAUUAGGAAGAACACCAGUGGCGAAGGCGACUUUCUGGACGAAAACUGACGCUGAGGCGCGAAAGCCAGGGGAGCGAACGGGAUUAGAUACCCGCGUAGUCCCUGUCUCUUAUACA
rnacentral:rRNA from 1 species